UGCUAAUACCGGAUAACAACAGAUGAUGCCUAUCAACUGUUUAAAAGAUGGUUCUGCUAUCACUCUUGGAUGGACCUGCGGUGCAUUAGCUAGUUGGUAGGGUAACGGCCUACCAAGGCGAUGAUGCAUAGCCGAGUUGAGAGACUGAUCGGCCACAUUGGGACUGAGACACGGCCCAAACUCCUACGGGAGGCAGCAGNG
rnacentral:rRNA from 1 species